rnacentral:rRNA from 1 species
AACAGCGAUCAUACCACGUAGAAAGCACCGGUUCUCGUCCGAUUACUGAAGUUAAACUACGUCGUGCCGGGUUAGUUCUUGCACGGGUGACCGGCUGGGAAUACCCGGUGGUGCUGACU